GCACCCGUAGCUCAGCUGGAUAGAGCGCUGCCCUCCGAAGGCAGAGGUCACAGGUUCGAAUCCUGUCGGGUGCGCC
rnacentral:tRNA from 1 species